rnacentral:rRNA from 1 species
AUGAGUGACGCACCCGGCGCAGCAGCCUCAGCUAUGGGCAGCGGCAGGGAGCUCGCCAACCCGCCGUCGGACGGCAUCUCCAACCUCCGCUUCUCCAACCACAGCGACCACCUCCUCGUUUCCUCCUGGGACAAGACGGUUCGGCUGUACGACGCCGAGGCGAACCUGCUCAAAGGGGAGUUCGCGCACCCCGGGCCUGUGCUCGACUGCUGCUUCCACGACGACUCCUCCGGGUUUAGCGCUGGCGCCGACCACACCGUUCGGAGAUUAUCAUUUACUUCGUCAAAGGAGGAUGUUCUGGGGCGUCAUGAUGCUCCAGUUCGCUGUGUGGAGUACUCUUAUGCUGCAGGCCAAGUCAUAACUGGCAGCUGGGACAAGACAAUUAAAUGCUGGGAUCCCAGAGGAGUUAGCGGACCAGAGCGUACACUUGUUGGGACAUAUGCUCAACCAGAGCGUGUAUAUUCUAUGUCACUGGUAGGAAAUACUCCCUCCGUUCCUAAAUGGUAUGCUCUAAGUUCUGUCGAAGGACGAGUCUCUAUGGAGUUCUUUGACCUUUCCGAGUCUGCACAAUCUAAAAAGUAUGCUUUCAAGUGUCACCGGAAAUCUGAAUCUGGCAGGGACACUGUUUAUCCUGUCAAUGCCAUUGCAUUCCACCCAAUAUACGGCACAUUUGCCACUGGAGGCCAUGAUGGAUUUGUGAAUGUGUGGGAUGGCACAAACAAGAAGAGAUUGUAUCAGUAUUCAAAGUACGCGUCAAGCAUUGCUGCUCUGUCGUUCAGCAAGGAUGGGCAUCUGCUUGCUGUGGCAUCAAGCUAUGGUUACGAAGAGGGAGAGAAACCCCACGAGCCUGAUGCAAUAUUUAUCCGUGGGGUGAAUGAAGUGGAGGUUAAGCCGAAGCCCAAGGCAUUGGCCGCACCCCAGUAG